GCCUUCGUGGUGUAAUGGUUAGCACACUCGGCGCUUAUUCGAGAGGUCCAGGUUCGACCCCCGGUGAAGGCA
rnacentral:tRNA from 1 species